UACGUAGGGCGCAAGCGUUGUCCGGAAUUAUUGGGCGUAAAGAGCUCGUAGGCGGUCUGUCGCGUCUGCUGUGAAAACCUAGGGCUUAACUCUGGGCGUGCAGUGGGUACGGGCAGGCUAGAGUGCGGUAGGGGAGACUGGAAUUCCUGGUGUAGCGGUGAAAUGCGUAGAUAUCAGGAGGAACACCGGUGGCGAAGGCGCUCAUCUGGCCCAAUACUGACGCUGAUGCGCGAAAGCUAGGGUAGCGAACGGG
rnacentral:rRNA from 1 species